rnacentral:rRNA from 1 species
AUACGGAGGAUCCGAGCGUUAUCCGGAUUUAUUGGGUUUAAAGGGUGCGCGGGCGGCCAUUUAAGUCAGCGGUUAAAUCGUGGGGCUCAACCCCAUUCUGCCGUUGAUACUGGGUGGCUUGAUUGCGGUCGAGGUUGGCGGAAUUCGUUGUGUAGCGGUGAAAUGCAUAGAUAUGACGAAGAACACCGAUUGCGUAGGCAGCUGACCAGACCGCAAAUGACGCUCAUGCACGAAAGUGCGGGGAUCGAACAGGAUUAGAUACCCUGGUAGUCCGCACAGUAAACGAUGAAUACUUGUUUUCGGCGAUAUAAUGUCGGAGGCAAAGCGAAAGCGAUAAGUAUUCCACCUGGGGAGUACGCCGGCAACGGUGAAACUCAAAGGAAUUGACGGGG